GAUCACGUGACAUAGCAACAGCUUCAGUAGCAACGAGCUGCAAAUAUUGUCAAAGCGCAAAUUUAACGGCUGUUAAGAUUUAUCGAAAAUAAUGGGUUACGGACAAGUGUUUAGUUACGGAAAUGUGUUCAUAGCUUCUUACCAGUACAGGCCAAGCCAGCCUGUCUGGAGACCUGUCUCAACCUGGACUGCUCCCUCUAGCUACAAAUCUAACCCCUAUAAGUGGGUCAACCCCCGUCUGAGGUCCUGCUCUGACCAGUGCAAGGCUGAUCUUCAGCCUGUCAGGUCUGAGCCAAGACCAGGGCCUGGUUAUUCUGCCACUUACAGUGGUAGGCCUGCAGAUAGAGCCAGUCCCAUAGAGAGCUACAGGUCAGCAGACCCGGCACCCCUUCAGCUGGCAGACAUAUCUGUAAGGUCUAGUGAGUCUCGUAGAUACAGAGAGAAAUCACAGGCCUCAAGGUCUAAGGACCGAUCUCCUCCUCCCAAGAGAUUAUGGGGAGAUUUCAUUGUGCUGGAUGAGUACAGAAGUGAAAGUGAUACCUCCCUGGCAACCAGUUCUGGCAGCGAAUCUUCUCUAGCAAGUAGCUGUGGCUCUGGGAGUAACACAUCACUGAGUGAGAUUUCCUCAAGCAGUAGCACUGUCCUGUACAGCACUGGAAGUGAAUCAUCCCUAGAUGAUGAAAGUGACUGCAGUGUGGCUAAACCAGCUGUGGAGGCAGGGGACCAUGAGCCCAAAGAGAAACUAGAGCUGUGGGGGACCUAGUCUUGGACAGGUCACUCUGAGCCUCAUCAAGAAGCCUCAGCCUGUUUCCAUGGUUACAGCUGACAGACUGUCAACUCCAGUGACCACUCCCAAACCAAGUUUCAGUGGUCAAGUGAAACCUCCACAGUUGGAGAAACAUGUCCCAGCUGAACUGCCAGAGCUUUGGGGAUGCUAUAUGAGUGCUGCGAUGCAGAGGCAGAUGGACCAGUGGGAGAGAGAGGCUAAUAGCCUGAACAUCAAGGCUCCAUCUAGCACUGGUCAGAUUCCUUUGACAAAACCUGGGUCUGCAUCUAACCCAUUGAUGCAGUCCAGUGUGGUUGCUAAGCAGCAAGUCACUUGGUGUGCUCCCAAACACUGCCUCCAGUCUAGUGUGGUUGCUAGGUCAGUUGUCAUGCCAACCCAGCCUGCACUGCAGUCAGCUGUGGGUGCCUCGACCACCCCUGUUCAGAGGAUCAUACCUGGCCCUUCACCAGCUGCCAGAUGGGGCCCCAGCUCUUACCCACAAUCCUCUGUGAGGUGUUCAGCUGCUAGGAAACGGCCACUGGAGGAGUAUGAGAAUGAGGCUGCUCCCUCAGCCAAGAUUCACAUUAACAAGAACCACCCAAGGUUCAGACACUUGUUCCAAUAAACAAGUGUGGGUGGAGGAUAAGUAUGUUUUUUAUUAUGUACAAAAAAACCCCCCAGAAAAUGAAGCAUAUGCCAAAAAAGUACAAAAAUAUAUAUGAAGCAACGCUUCGCCAAAAAAAAGUAAAAAAACACAAAAAUACAAAAAAAGAUGUAGUGUAGGUUUUGUAGUGAAGUUAUGUAGUUAUCCUAUUUAAACUGUAUUGUAGAGUAGUUUACUGUUUGUUUUAUGUUUCUCCUUUGUUCAACCAUGCACAGCAUGUUCAUGGUUAGCAUUUGGGAUACCGUGAUUUCUGUAUGUGGUUGCAUCAAUGUAUCUGUUGAUUGUUUCCCGUCUUUUUCUCAUAAACUACCAAAUUUGACAUAACUUCAGAGAUAUGUUGCUCAGGUGGGAAAUGUUCAAUGAGUUCCAAUCAACUGCAUAUUAUCGUUACCAGAGAAACACUAGAUUUUUAAAUAAACAAAUCUCCCCUGGAACUACAACUACAAGGUUCAGAGUUCUAACUUUAUGUUUGUAAUAUUGUUUUUUGAUAAUUAAUGAAGUAUGUAGCAUUUCUUUGGGGUCAAAACAAGCAAUAUGUCAUGUUUUCACAUUUUUUAUACAGGUUUACAAAAAGGUUGAAAAUUGUUGUUAUUUUAUGUGUUACUGGGGUCUGGCAGAUAGGGUUGGGGUAGGGGGGGAUUUGGCGUCAAACAGGUAUUCAAAAACCAAUCUUAAUGAACUUUGGAUAUAGCAAGCUUGCAAUGGAGACUUAUAUUGGGAUAGCUUUGGGGCUAGUUGGGUGAAGGUCAUUGUUACUUACAAUCGAAAAACCAUCAAUGAGGUGGUUUCAUAACAAAAAACAUACGUUUGCAUAGACCAAUCUUGAUGAAUCUUAGGAUACUACAAGUCUGCAUGAAGACCUAACUUAUGAAUGUUUUUGGGGUUUGUCUGGUAAAAAUCAAGGUCAGCGAUACAAAAAAAAAUGGAUUAUGGUGUGUGUAGAAUAUUCAUAUGCAGACCUAGCACGGAUAUUAAUUUAGGGCCAGUGGUAUAAAGGUGAAGGUCAUUGUAACCCAAAUAUAGUUCUGUUUUUGCUCAAUGACUUGGGAUUCCACCUGGGACCACUUAGAUAUAAUGCUAGGUCACUGUUUCUGAAAAUUAAAAAGUGUUUCCGCUCACUAGCUUGAUUUUUAUGAGGAUAUUGUUCUGAUAUUUUGUAUGUCGUAUGCUGGUAUCUUGCAUGCAUACCAGGUUAAGGAUUUUAUUUGGGACCAUUUAGAUUGUGGUCAAAGUAAUGGUUACUAACAAUAAAACAAUAAGUUUUCUGUUUUAGUUUUGAUGGAGGAAUUAGGCAGAAAUUGUAUGUGUAGCUUACAUGCAGACCAUGUUUGGGAUUGAACAAACAUGGAA